rnacentral:rRNA from 1 species
UGGGGAAUUUUGGGCAAUGGGCGCAAGCCUGACCCAGCAACGCCGCGUGGAGGAUGAAGGCCUUCGGGUUGUAAACUCCUGUCAGGUGGGAAGAAACGCUCGUCGGUAAAUAGCCGACGGGAGUCGACGGUACCACCAAAGGAAGCCCCGGCUAACUCCGUGCCAGCAGCCGCGGUAAUACGGAGGGGGCAAGCGUUAUUCGGAUUUACUGGGCGUAAAGCGCACGUAGGCGGCCAGGCAUGUCGACGGUGAAAGCCCUCGGCUCAACCGAGGAACUGCCAUCGAAACUGCCUGGCUUGAGUCCGGGAGGGGGGAGCGGAAUUCCCAAAGUAGCGGUGAAAUGCGUAGAUAUUGGGAAGAACACCAGUGGCGAAGGCGGCUCCCUGGACCGGUACUGACGCUGAGGUGCGAAAGCGUGGGUAGCAAACAGGAUUAGAUACCCUGGUAGUCCACGCCGUAAACGAUGGGCACUAGGUGCAGCGGGUGUCGACCCCUGCUGUGCCGAAGUUAACGCAUUAAGUACUCCGCCUGGGGACUACGGCCGCAAGGCUA